rnacentral:lncRNA from 1 species
GAAAGGACUAGAUUGAUCCCCUAUACUUGUGGGUCAUCAUAGACCAAGCCUGCCAACUAUAUGUCUAUGUGUAACCUGCAUUUAAAAAGAAAAAAUUUUAUAAAAAUGUGAAGUGACCAGAUUGCACAUAUUGUAUAAUGCUUACCAAAUGAUUGUCAUAGAUGUUUGCAGUUGUAAAGCAAUGAACCCGUGCAGGAUAUUUCUCAUACAUGUGUAAUAGAGUGUGCAUAUUCUUAACUUACCUUCAUGUUAGAUUAAAAUCAUCAUUGUAUGCAACAGGUCUUUCAUAUUUGUCAAAUACGUACGCUUUAUAAUUUAAAAUAAUUGAACAAUUGUUAAUUACAAAAAAAUAUUACUAAAUAAACAACUAAUAUAAAAUAAUGUUACUAAAGAAACAACUAAUAUACAAAAAAUCUACUUACUAAUUACAUACGUUGGUUCCUCGUUUGGAUGUAUUGGGGACAUAUAUAUCACAAAAUCUCUAGAGUUGUAGCAAAAAUGGAUCAUGUCUCUUGUUCUUAUAUCGUGGUCGUAGCAAAAGCAAUCCCAUCCAAUGCCACCUAUGUGAAUCCUAUCUCCAUUAUCUCUCGCACACAUCCUAUAGCUUGAUUUGUGUGUAGUUUUGGCUGUGAAAUAGCAUUGUCUGAUGUAGUGCCUAAAUUGGUUAACUCCUCGGCAAGGUGCAUCUUAUACAUAAUAAGUGUAUGUAGUAAGUUACACCUCAAUUUGAUAUAUAAUAAACUUACAUAUGACAUUACGAUAUUGAUUCACAAUCCUGUAACGAAGAGAGUCUGGACCUAUCACCCGAAAUUUUGUUAUUUUCUCAUGAUCUAAGGCGCAUGGCAUUCUACCAGUACCACAAAUAUCACAG